GUAGGGUGCGAGCGUUAAUCGGAAUUACUGGGCGUAAAGCGUGCGCAGGCGGUUUUGUAAGCCAGAUGUGAAAGCCCCGGGCUUAACCUGGGAAUGGCAUUUGGGACUGCAAGGCUUGAGUGCGGCAGAGGAGACUGGAAUUCCUGGUGUAGCAGUGAAAUGCGUAGAUAUCAGGAGGAAUACCGAUGGCGAAGGCAGGUCUCUGGGCUGACACUGACGCUCAUGCACGAAAGCGUGGGGAGCAAACAGGAUUAGAUACCCUGGUAGUCCACGCCCUAAACGAUGUCGACUGGUUGUUGGGGGUUUGACACUCUCAGUAACGAAGCUAACGCGUGAAGUCGACCGCCUGGGGAGUACGGCCGCAAGGUUAAA
rnacentral:rRNA from 1 species